rnacentral:rRNA from 1 species
CCUACGGGAGGCAGCAGUGAGGAAUAUUGGUCAAUGGCCGUAACGCUGAACCAGCCACGCCGCGUGAAGGAUGAAGGUUCUAUGAUUUGUAAACUUUUUUUUACAGGGAGGAGCAGAAGACGGUACCUGACGAAUAAGCCACGGCUAACUACGUGCCAGCAGCCGCGGUAAUACGUAGGUGGCAAGCGUUGUCCGGAUUUACUGGGUGUAAAGGGCGUGUAGCCGGGCUGACAAGUCAGAUGUGAAAUCCGGGGGCUCAACCCCCGAACUGCAUUUGAAACUGUUGGUCUUGAGUGUCGGAGAGGCAGGCGGAAUUCCUAGUGUAGCGGUGAAAUGCGUAGAUAUUAGGAGGAACACCAGUGGCGAAGGCGGCCUGCUGGACGACAACUGACGGUGAGGCGCGAAAGCGUGGGGAGCAAACAGGAUUAGAUACCCGUGUAGUC